GUUCAUAGUUUUUUUUUCUUUUUUUUUUUCCUUUCUGGGGUCUUUGAUUCUAGGAAUUGAAGUUGCCCUCGAAUUAUGAAGUUCUUCUUCGGAAAGUAUUUGAUGAUUGUACUAAGAGAGUUUGGCUGCAUAAAAGAAUGGGUGGUGUUUGUUUGUCCAUUGCUUCAAAAGGGUUACCAAUCACCGGGAUAGGUGAUUGAAGAUAUUGGAAUCAUAUCCCAACUGAAGAAUCUAGGUUUCAUCAAACUCCUGACAAAUUCGGUACUAUGACUAUUUUUUACGGUGAUAUUUUGGAUUCGCUUAAUUUUCAGGUGGCUUAUUAGAAAUAAGCUCUCAAAGAUUAAGAACAAAUGUCUGAUCAUAAUAUUAUUUACAACAAACCCUUGAUGAAUAUCCUCCUCAAUGUAUUGACUCGACUUUGAAGAUUAGUCCCAAAUGUUUAGACAAUGAUGUUAUACCAACUCAUUUGGAUAUAUUUGCACUAUUUUCUAAAUGAUUUCCAUUGUAAUAAAUUGUUCUUAUUUGUUUCCCCUUA